UCAAACUUGAGAGUUUGAUCCUGGCUCAGAACGAACGCUGGCGGCAUGCCUAAUACAUGCAAGUCGAACGAGAUCUUCGGAUCUAGUGGCGCACGGGUGCGUAACGCGUGGGAAUCUGCCCUUGGGUUCGGAAUAACUUCUGGAAACGGAAGCUAAUACCGGAUGAUGACGUAAGUCCAAAGAUUUAUCGCCCAAGGAUGAGCCCGCGUAGGAUUAGCUAGUUGGUGAGGUAAAGGCUCACCAAGGCGACGAUCCUUAGCUGGUCUGAGAGGAUGAUCAGCCACACUGGGACUGAGACACGGCCCAGACUCCUACGGGAGGCAGCAGUAGGGAAUAUUGGACAAUGGGCGA
rnacentral:rRNA from 1 species